CCUACGGGCGGCUGCAGUGAGGAAUAUUGGUCAAUGGACGAGAGUCUGAACCAGCCAAGUAGCGUGAAGGAUGACUGCCCUAUGGGUUGUAAACUUCUUUUAUAUGGGAAUAAAAUGUUCCACGUGUGGGAUUUUGUAUGUACCAUAUGAAUAAGGAUCGGCUAACUCCGUGCCAGCAGCCGCGGUAAUACGGAGGAUCCGAGCGUUAUCCGGAUUUAUUGGGUUUAAAGGGAGCGUAGGUGGAUUGUUAAGUCAGUUGUGAAAGUUUGCGGCUCAACCGUAAAAUUGCAGUUGAAACUGGCAGUCUUGAGUACAGUAGAGGUGGGCGGAAGUCGUGGUGUAGCGGUGAAAUGCUUAGAUAUCACGAAGAACUCCGAUUGCGAAGGCAGUUCACUGGACUGCAACUGACACUGAGGCUCGAAAGUGUGGGUAUCAAACAGGAUUAGAUACCCUUGUAGUC
rnacentral:rRNA from 1 species